rnacentral:rRNA from 1 species
GAUGACGAGUGGCGGACGGGUGAGUAAUGCUUGGGAACUUGCCUUUGCGAGGGGGAUAACAGUUGGAAACGACUGCUAAUACCGCAUAAUGUCUUCGGACCAAACGGGGCUUCGGCUCCGGCGCAAAGAGAGGCCCAAGUGAGAUUAGCUAGUUGGUAAGGUAACGGCUUACCAAGGCGACGAUCUCUAGCUGUUCUGAGAGGAAGAUCAGCCACACUGGGACUGAGACACGGCCCAGACUCCUACGGGAGGCAGCAGUGGGGAAUAUUGCACAAUGGGGGAAACCCUGAUGCAGCCAUGCCGCGUGUGUGAAGAAGGCCUUCGGGUUGUAAAGCACUUUCAGUUGUGAGGAAAAGUUAGUAGUUAAUACCUGCUAGCCGUGACGUUAACAACAGAAGAAGCACCGGCUAACUCCGUGCCAGCAGCCGCGGUAAUACGGAGGGUGCGAGCGUUAAUCGGAAUUACUGGGCGUAAAGCGCACGCAGGCGGUUUGUUAAGCUAGAUGUGAAAGCCCCGGGCUCAACCUGGGAUGGUCAUUUAGAACUGGCAGACUAGAGUCUUGGAGAGGGGAGUGGAAUUCCAGGUGUAGCGGUGAAAUGCGUAGAUAUCUGGAGGAACAUCAGUGGCGAAGGCGACUCCCUGGCCAAAGA